rnacentral:rRNA from 1 species
UACAGAGGUCUCAACCGUUGUUCGGAUUCAUUGGGCGUAAAGGGUGCGUAGGCGGUCGCGCAAGUCGGAUGUGAAAUCUCAGGGCUCAACCCUGAAACUGCAUUCGAUACUGCGUGGCUAGAGUACUGGAGAGGAGAAUGGAAUUCCUGGUGUAGCGGUGAAAUGCGCAGAUAUCAGGAAGAACACCCGUGGCGAAGGCGGUUCUCUAGUACGGUACUGACGCUGAGACGCGAAAGCGUGGGGAGCGAACAGG